rnacentral:rRNA from 1 species
AGUGAACGCUGGCGGUAUGCCUAAUACAUGCAAGUCGAACGGCCGCAUAGUAAGCGUUCGCCCUUACGGUUGGCGAGUGGCGGACGGGUGAGACAUACAUCGCAUACUACUAAUUCGUGGGGGACAACGUAAGGACACUUCCGCUACUACCGCAUAUGACCUACGGGUUAAAGCAGUGGAUCUUCGCACUUUGCGUGACUCAUAGAGCUGAUGUCGCAUUAGCUAGUUGGCGAGGUAAAGGCCCACCAAGGCGACGAUACGUAGCUGAUCUGAGAGGAUGAUCAGCCACACUGGAACUGAGACACGGUCCAGACUCCUACGGGAGGCAGCAGUGGGGAAUCUUGGACAAAGGGCGAAAGCCUGAUGCAGCAAUACCGCGUGGGUGAUGAAGGCCUUCGGAUUGUAAAACCCUUUUAUUGGGAAAGAAAAGCUGCGUAAUAAUCCCCCGCUGUUUUGACGGUACCUAAAGAGUAAGCACCGGCUAACUUCGUG